rnacentral:lncRNA from 1 species
AAUUUCAACCAAAUAUUAAUUUAAUCCUAGUUGAAAUCCUAAUAGCCUUUACUUAAAUCCUAAGUCAAAUCCUAACUAAAUCCUAAACAAAUCCUAAAUCCUAACCAAUUUCUAAAUCCUCAAUCAAAUCCUAAUCAAAUUAACUUAAUUUUAGGAUAAUUUAGAGCCUUAAUAUCUAUCAAUUUUAUCAUUGAUCUUACUUAAGAUUUUACACACCUCUCA